AACGAACGUUGGCGGCGUGCCUAACACAUGCAAGUCGAACGAGAAAGGGGCUUCGGCUCCGAGUAAAGUGGCGCACGGGUGAGUAACACGUGGGUAACCUGCCUCUAAGAUUGGGAUAACUCGUCGAAAGAUGAGCUAAUACCGGAUAAGACCACAGUUCCCGCGGGAACAGGGGUCAAAGGUAGCCUCUGCUUGCAAGCUAUCCCUUCGAGAUGGGCCUGCGCACCAUAAGCUAGUUGGUAGGGUAACGGCCUACCAAGGCAAAGAUGGUUAGCUGGUCUGAGAGGAUGAUCAGCCACACUGGAACUGAGACACGGUCCAGACUCCUACGGGAGGCAGCAGUGGGGAAUAUUGCGCAAUGGGCGAAAGCUUGAUGCAGCAACGCCGCGUGAGUGAUGAAGGCCUUCGGGUCGUAAAGCUCUGUCGGGAGGAACGAAUGCUCCCAAGGUUAACAGCCUCGGGAGGUGACGGUACCUUCAAAGGAAGCACCGGCUAACUCUGUGCCAGCCGCCGCAGUAAAAC
rnacentral:rRNA from 1 species